rnacentral:rRNA from 1 species
AAGAACUAACAAGGAUUCCCCUAGUAACUGCGAGUGAAGCGGGAAGAGCUCAAAUUUAAAAUCUGGCGGCCCCGCCGUCCGAGUUGUAAUUUAGAGAAGCGUUUUCCGCGCCGGACCGUGUACAAGUCUCCUGGAACGGAGCGUCAUAGAGGGUGAGAAUCCCGUCUUUGACACGGACGCCCGGUGCUAUGUGAUACGCUCUCGAAGAGUCGAGUUGUUUGGGAAUGCAGCUCAAAAUGGGUGGUGAACUCCAUCUAAAGCUAAAUAUUGGCGAGAGACCGAUAGCGAACAAGUACCGUGAGGGAAAGAUGAAAAGCACUUUGGAAAGAGAGUGAAACAGUACGUGAAAUUGCUGAAAGGGAAACGCUUGAAGUCAGUCGCGUCCGCCGGGAUUCAGCCUCCGUGGUGUACUUUCCGGUCGGACGGGCCAGCAUCACUUUCGGUCGCCGGAAAAGGGCGGAGGGAAUGUGGCACCUCCGGGUGUGUUAUAGCCCUCCGUCGUAUACGGUGGUCGGGAGUGAGGACCGCCUAUUUUUGUAGGAUGCUGGCGUAAUGGCUUUAAACGACCCGUCU